rfam:Felis catus isolate Cinnamon breed Abyssinian chromosome B4, whole genome shotgun sequence.
GCCUGGGUGGCUUGGUUGGUUAAGCAUCUGAUUUCAGCUCAGGUCAUGAUCUCCCAGUUCGUGGGUUCGAGCCCCGCGUCGGGCU